GCCACUUCCACAUCCAGGGAGCCAACUAGAAACAUCCCCAAACCUAAAAGCAAAAUAACCUGUCCAAACAGCUUUAAAGGUCCAGGAAGAUAAAUGUCAAGGGAGCUAAAAUAGUCGACAGGCCCCAGAACAUAGAAAAUAAACUUCCCUUUCAGAAAGCAGCCUUCACUUGGUUUCGUAAGCGUGUACCGCUGAAGUCUGUACUGUUUGAAGGUGAAAAGAAACAUCUGAGAAGCACCUGCCUGGAUUCUCUUCGCUCCCUCCGGCCAUGACAACCCUUAUCCCGAUUUCUACUUCGCGGCACCAAAGAGGAAAGCAGCAUUCACCAGAACGCUCCAGGCUGAAUCCGUUAGCUGGACUAGGGCACUCUAUCCGGCCCACGGGAGGACGCCACAAGCCCGAGUUCGGGUUAAGACGGUGGGAGAGGCAGCCGCUGCUGCUGCUGUUUUGCCCUUGACACGUCGCUGGGGGAUAGCGCAGACCCCCUCUGUCACGGAAAAGCGGCGUCCUGGAGAGACUGUCCAGUUCUGGGCUGCGCCGAUUCCCCUCCAGGCCUUGCCCCUAAACGUCCCCGCCCCGCGGGGGCAGCCCUGCGGGGUCUCAGAGCCGCCCGCGAGCCUGGCGGGCUGUUACGCGGCCUGGAGAGAAGGGGAGCGCUCCUCGGGGAGGGGGGGUCCCACCUGUUUUGUCGUCAGGGGGCAUCGAGGGGCUACGGUGGGGGGAUCCCGAAAUAGUGGGCGCCUGGCCGGCUGCGAUCUGGACCGAAGGUACCAACUGUCACACCGCCACCUAGGCUGUGGGGGUGGAGCCGUGAUUGGAGUCGGCCCCUGGGUGGGGGUCUCCGGACCCCGGGCGGGCUACUGCCCAAAGGCUCCCCGCCUCCCGAUCGCCCCAAUCCGACACCAGGCAGCCUUCCAGCCCGCACGCAGUAGCUCUGAAAAGGUGCCCACUGACGCCUCCUCCUUCCUCCCCGCCCCAACUUAGCCGGGGAGCCCCGCCGGCGGCCCGCCCCCUCCGAGCCCGGAUCCCGGCCGCCGGACCUCCCCGCUGUGACCACCCACGGGAGCAGCAGCUCUGGAGGACUGCCCGCCAGAAAAAAAAAGCCUCUGGCGACGCCUGGGAGCGCGACGGAGGCGCAAGAGCUCUAACCGCGCGAGGUGAAAACUCCGACUGCGUCAGAGCCGCCCCGCCCCGCCUGGGGCCCACCUUCCGCCGCCCCUCCGAGCUGCGGCGAAAACCCGGAGAGCGGCUAGGCCGGGGUCGGAGCCCGCGCAUGCCCAGUAGCCCCACGUGGUGCAAGUCGCCUGAAGGAAGGUUUUCCUCUGCUCCCCGAGCGAAGCCCCAGCGCCCAAGUUAGGAUGGACAGCGGGGAGAGCUGGCCUUCCCGCCCCGAUGCCCGCCGUCCCUGGCCGGCCCGCGCCGCACCUCGGUGGCCUACAGGCAGCCCGAGGCCGUGCCUCCCGCGGGGUCGGGGACUUGGCGAGCGGGGGAAGGGGCGCGGCUACGGGCCCGGCGUACCACGUGACUGUCCGCGGCGCUCCGGGCAGCCAUCUUCCGCCCGGCCAUCGGGCCGCGGGCGCUCGGAACCGACCUGGGAGCUGGCGGGACCGUCCUCCCCCGCCACGCCCUCCCAUCGGGCUUUGGGCGCCGGACUCUGGCCACCGCUCGGCACCUGCCUCCGCCUCGCCUUGGGGUAUAGGAGUCCUGUACCGACCCCUGGCUUGCCCAGAGGACAGGUUCUCGCCCGGGCCAGAAGCAAACUGCGGCGAAAUCGAGACAACAGAACUCAGGUGGCGGAGGGUCCCCGCUUUUCCCCAGAGGCGGAAGUUGGCGAGGGAGUCCUCUUCCGUUAUCCAGCGAGAGCGCUGCUCUGGCUGCCUCCCGGUUCUAACCUAGUCCCUGCAGAGGAGUGAUGUACCGGCAGGGACAUUGGACAGAGGCCGUGCUCUUCCCUGCAGCGCAUACCCCGCGGCCCCUGCUGGUGGGCCGCUUCGAUGGUGCUGAGGUUCAUAGUGAAUAUUUAUUGAGCGCCUGCCUCGAGUCCCUUGGGUUUCCUGUUGUCUCGGGACCUGCCGCGUCACUAUCACCCUAGAAUUUGUUAGAAAUGCACGUUUUCGGCCCCACCUAGACCUACAGAACCAGAAACUGCGGGUGGAGUCCUGCAAUAUGAUUAACAAAGCCCUCCGGGUAGUUGUCAUGGACGCCUCUAUAUUUCAGCUAAGCAGUCCAUUUUAAUAAGCUAGGCAGUGAAAAUUUCCAUAGUUUUCCCCAAAGCACAGUGAGGAGUCAGGGAUUCAAAAUGAGGCAAUCUGCCCCAAUGCAGGCGUUUUAUUGCACCCUCCACUCCUGGCUCCUCUGGUUUUUUCGCCCGUAAGACACAGUACUGCUCUUCUCAGGAAGAUUAGGAAAGUACAUUUGUCACAUACGCUUUUCAAGCACGGCUUUAAAAUAACAACUGAAAUUCAGUUCAACUGCAUGUUUUGAGUAUCUACUGGGAGCAAGGCUCUGUGAAGUAUAGUAGCCCUACUGGUUAUGUUUAUCAGUUUGCACCUAAAAGGUGAAAGGAAGGCUUGCUUUCUUGUGAUGUAAAUUUUUUCAAACUAAGGGAGUGCCAGAAAACUGCUGGCUGCUUUCUCUCCCGUGUUGGUUUCUCUCCAGUGCUAUCCAGAAUAUGCUGUAAGCUCUGGACUUCCUGAAACAAAGGUCCAAGUAAGCAUCUGGUCUUUGAUGUACUUUAAAAUGCACCCCACCCCCACAUGAAAGAUAACUAAAUUUUUCAAAAUAUUAAUACUUCUUGAAUGUAAAUCGUGUGUCUAAGGUACUGGCAUAAUUUUUUUUUUCAAAUUUUCUAUAUGUUUGAAAUGUUUCAUAAUAAAAUCCUUUUAAAUUUUUUUCCAUGUGUAAUUUUAGGAUGAUAUAUAUAUAGCACAUGGAAAAAAGCAGGGCAUAGAAGUAUUUCCACUUUAAUUUCAGUUUCAUAAAAUCAGAGAGAAAAAGUCAUAGAUAUAUACACCAUACAUAAAAAAUAAAAGCGUAAAUAAAUACAGAAAGAAAUCUAAAGAGAAAUCACCAUAGCAGUAAAAGUAAAUUCUGUGUGAAGUGGUUAUAAGAGACACUAAGAGUUGCCCCUCCUUGAAAUUAUAUUUAGUUAUGGUCCUUAAGUCACUAUUAUUUGUAACCAAAAAAAAAAAUUGAAUAAAAAUAGUUCUCCCUCUUUAGUCCAUCCAAUCCUAAAGAAUUUUUAUCAGUGCCCUUUCUUUUUCUUCAGAGUCACUCUGUCACCCAGGCUGGAGUGCAGUGGCACCAUCACAGCUCCCUGCAGCCUUGACUUACAGGGCUCCAGUGAUCCUCCACCCUCAGCCUCCUGAGUAUCUGAGACCACAGGUGCAAGCCACCAUGCCCAGCAUACAUCUUACUAAGGCAUCUAAAGUACUUACUACUUCGUACUCAUGGGAUCCAAUGAUGCUCACAUAAUGUCAUCAAUAGAGUGGACCAGUGUGAUGUUUUGUGGAAUGUCAGAACAAUCAAGAUCACUUCAGACUAUUAUGGCAGUGAGCAAGAGAACUAAUGGAGCCCGUGGCAACACUGGGAAGACAUAUUGUUGGCCCUGUUGGGUAACAGCAAAUCACUUCUGAUGGACCUUGCAAAUUGGUAUGGAGGAAAAGGCAUUAGCCAGUUGUAGCAAGGAAACCAAAAGGUAUAAACAUUCACUGAUUGAAAAACAAUGUCAUAAAGUCAUCCCAGUAUCUGUGAGGAGUUGGUUCCAGGACCCCUGAGGACACCAAAAUCCUCAGAUGCUCAAGUCCCUGAUAAAAAAAUAAAAGCAGUGGUGCCCUCGGGUUCAAAAACCUGAACGGUGGUCUUCAGUUGUUCCCCCAAGCUCCUCUAUCAGAGGCCCAGACACUCCAAGAGGCUGGGAAGAGGCAAGUGGCUUUCCCUGACUGGCAUCAGACUCCUGGAUGGCUGUGUUUCUGCAUACUCCACCAUCAACAAUCAGAAGGGCACUGCUUUCUUCAAGAAGGGGACCUUGCAAAGAACUGUCUCAGAUGGACUAUCUUUGAGUUCAUCUUGUUCUGAAUGUGAGUCUGAGUCUUUGUUUCCAGAUGACACAGUGCUGUCUGAGUCCUCUGAAUCACCUGCCUCAGAGCUGCAGCAAAGUUUCUGCUGCCCAGAAACUGAAUGGGCUGCUUGUAAUGCAGAUUCUUCCUCCUGGACAAGAAGUGCUGCUGCUUCUAGUUCUUCCAGUUCUAACCCCAACUGGGCCUUUGUAAGGGAGACUUCCUUUAAGGCUUCUGCAAGAGCUGCCAACGUUUUGGAUUUGACUUUCUGAGUCCACACACAGUAGUAUGAGAUGUAGAGAUCAUUCAGUAUGUAUGCUGGGUCGUUUUCCUGAAAAAUUUUGUGAAUAUCCAGGAGACACUUUAAAACUGCACUUUUACUUAAUUGCAGUAUCUUUAUAGUCUCCCCGUAGGCCUUCAUCGCCAGUUUGAAAUGGCGAUAGAGCAGGUAACACAAUACCCUUCUUCCAAAAGACACCAUGAUAUCAUGAACAUUAGUCCAAGUCUCAAACCAGCAUAGUAUUGGACUCAAGUUUCGUGAUAUUCCAUGCAGAUUCAACGUUCUUGUCUCCUUCAGUGACACGGGUUUCUUAGCAAUAUGCCAGAAGGAUAUCAAUCGAACUGUAGUACACUUGACGACAGGCUCUGUUGUCUAGCAGAUAAGAUUUAUUGACAAAUUCUUGUAGCUGAUAUUUCUCUUCUUCAGAAAAAGACACUAAUGCAGCAUGAUUUUCUUGCUUCUGACUCUUUUCCAAAAAGGCCGUCAUUUUUUAAUAUUUGUCAGUCCACCAAGGAUUAUACUUCAAAAUCUGUUCAACUGCCUCAUCUUCAAAAAAGUCAGCUAGAUAAUGAUCAGGAUCAAACUUGGCCAGCUCGGCGGCCAGGUGCUUUUGUUUUCGUUCUGCUGCAGGGAUGAAAUCUGGAUCCUUAAUAACAUCACUCAAUUCAUCCUGUAACUGCUGAAACACUCCUGAUCGUAAGUUUCCAAACCCAUAGUGGCAUGAGGAUUCAAAGCACUUUCUGUUACCUCUUCAUAGGGUGUCUGCUCAAUUUCCCAAUCAAACUCUUCAUCGUCAACUACUUCCUCAGGAAUUUCAGAAUCACCUAUUGCUUCCACAAGUGGUUUUGCUGUCCCGGAUUUUCCUGGUGCCAGAAGAGCAACACAUGUUCAGCCCCUCAAAAUGCUGGCCAGGGGUUUCUCUGGGCAGGCGAGUGGUAAAAAUUCCUUUAUCUGCAUCAUAGGACCCUUGCUCGCUUCCGUAUCCAUAUUCUACAAUUCUUCCAGGAGGGGUUAAUCUGAGAAAGUACGGCUUGGCAUAGUAGUCUAGGCCGACCCCUCGAAGUAGACGUUGAACUCGGAGGCCGGGGCAUAGGGCACGCGGAUGGCGAUGGUCAGGAAAUCCGGCUCCUGGCUGAGGCUGAACGCCGGGGUCAGCAUCGCGGCACCAGACGCAGGGGCCAGCGCGGCUCGCCCUCGCUGCCGCGGCGGUCCCACCAAGCAACUCUCUCCAAUUUUACCUUUUUAAAAUAAAAGAUGUCUGGGCCAGGCGCAGUGGCUCACGCUUGUAAUCCCAGCACUUUGGGAAGCCGAGGCGGGUGGAUCCUGACCUGAGGUCAGGAGUUCAAGAUCAGCCCCGCCGACAUGACGAAACUCCGUCUCUACUAAAAAUACAAACAUCAGCCGGACGUGGUGGUGGGCGCCUGUAAUCCCCACUACUCGGGAGGCUGAGGCAGGAGAAUCACUUGAACCCGGGAGGCAGAGGUUGCAAUGAGCCGAGAUCAUGCCACUGUACUCCAGCCUGGGUGACAGAGUGAGACUCUGUCUCAAAAAAAAAAAAAAAAAAAAAAAAAAAAGUCUGUCUUCCAGGACACAGAAGCCUCCUAUACACACAUUUUGGCACUUGAUUAUGUUAUGUCUUUUACAGUUCUCUGCAUGUUUCUUGCAGGUAAGUCUUGAUUCUUCAAUUACAUAUUAAAUUUCUAUUGAGGAUAUAUAUCUAGCUUUCAUCUUUCAGAGUACCUAGCAUAGGACUUGGCACCAAGUAGCCCAUAGUAAACAGUUAUUCAACCAUAAUGUAUGAUUUUCUUUUCUACUUUUCACUGGUAUGUUUUUGUUUAAAAAGGGUAAACCACCAGGGAUGGAAAUGUCCUUGCUAUGUUAUCCUUCUUCUCUAAUUAGCAACCACCCUUCACAAUCUGCCACAUUACAUUUAAAAAGGAUUUUCAAAUUAGACAUUUAUGCCUGGGCAUUAACCAGGGACUGAUGAAUCAGUGCCAUCAGCAGAACACUGCCCUGACUGGCAGACAUGGCACCAUUGUCAAGACUUGUAAUUUACUCCUGGCUUUUCAAAUAGUCAGUGUGUAACUCCAGGCAAGGUUUAAUUAUCUCCUGUUAAAAUGGGAAUAAUAUGACCCACCCCCACUUUGCUUCCCAUGGGUAUCAUGAGAAUUAAUUAAUUAUUGAAUAAGAAUAUAUGUCUAUAAAAUAUUUUAUAGUUCAUUAGAGGUAAACAAAUGCAAACGUAAGAUAUUGUUCAAUGUAUUAUGAAUGUUCAUUGUUGCUGUAUUUAGUACAAAGUACCUGUAUUAUAUCAACAGUGGUAGUACACAAAAUAAUGAAUACAUGUUGGGUCAGCACCUCCUCCAAUUACCACUUGCAAACAAGUCCUGGAUGGCCAGAACUAAUUGGAAGGUUGAGACAAAAAUUAUAUCUCGCACACUAAAGAAGGGGAGAUUGAUACAGCGCGCUCACCUAAAUUUCGUAGUGCCUUCAUGAACUCUUCAAAAGCUUCAAAUCUAGGCUAGGCUACAGGAAGAACAGCAGCAACUGAAGACUGGCACCUUUUCUGGAACCUCAGCAGCACCUUCCUUGUUUCGUAAGAUUUCGAAGAAGCAUAUCAAAAUUCUUCCACCCAUUCCUUCACAGUAUAAUAGGAGAAAACAUCUAUCCUCCGUUGACACCUGGAAGAAUGAGAUUCCAACUCACUCCAGGACAUGGCCAGAAAAAUUCAACAAAAGAUUUGCUAAAUCCUCUGCACUAUUAUCUAGACCAGGAUUUCUCAACCUCAGCUCUGUGGACAUUUGGGCCAGAUAAUUCUUUGUUACCAGAGGCUGUCCUGUACAUCAUCAGGUGUUUAGCAGCAUUCCUGGCCUCAACCAAAUGGAUGCCAGUAGCACCUCCCCCACCCACUUGUGACAGCCAAAGAUAUCUCCAGACAUUGCCAAAUGUCCCCUGUUAUGGAGAAUCAUCCUCAGUUGAGAAUCACUGGUUUAGGCAAUGAUCAAAGUGGGGCAACUAAAUCAAAAGGCACUGCAAUCUUAAGUUGAUCAAGCAUCCUUCUUUGAAAUCACUCAGCACUUUCAUAUAUUGCAUUUAUAUCUUAGGUAUUCAUAUUCUAACAAUUCAGCCAAUGUUUUUUGAGUUCGCAAUGGACAAGGUACAAGAUCAAGUAAGUAAUUCUGUGUAUCCAUAAAACAGAAAUGGAUAUGGUAUGUCCCAGUUCUCCACAGUAGGCAUUUAUGUUAUUCCCAUCCCAAUAUUUAGCCCUGAUCAGGGUUGUCAAACAUUGCAUGGGACAUACUUAUCCUAAAAAAUUAUUCAUUAUUUAUCUGAAAUUGAAAUUUAACUGGAUGUCCUAUGUGUGUGCAUGUGUAUGUUUGUUUGUUUGUUUCUUUUUCUAAAUCUGAUUACCCUAUCCUAACAGACUCAAGGUUUUUUCCCUGUUCCACAAACUUUAUGACUUGACUUCAUUAAAAAUAAUAAAGAGGAAUAACUGCAAAGGCUUUAAAAAUGCUGUUAGAAUGAGUAGCACAACUGAAUUUGAGGAUACAUUUUCUUUGAAGGAUGUCUAUUUUCCUACUGAAAAUAGUGGCAAACUCCUUAGAACUCAUUCAAAGCCUGAUGGGAUUCAUUGCCUGAUUUAUUUAAAAACACUUCUGAUGCUCACAGACUAUUUAUCAUUUACACAGCAAAUGAUGUUCUUCUAGUAUUCUUGUUGGGUGAGUUAGCAUUGUGGAAGGACAUAGAGGAGAAUCAGACACAAACUUCUUAUAACCUCAUAAACAGGAAGAAAGGGAGCAGAAGCAUAGACUGACUUUACUUUCACUCAGCUUACCUUCCUAGUUCUCCAGGUGUGGUCCUCAGAAGAGGAAUAUCAUGUGACCUGGGAACUUGCUAGAAAUGCACAUCCUUGGGACCCACCCCGGACCUACUGAAUCAGAAACUCUGAGAGUGGGUCCUAGCAACCAGUGUUUUCACAGGCCUUCCAGGUGAUUCUUCCGCAUGUUCGAGUUUGAGAACAACUGCUUUAGAGCCCUGGUUCUUGACCCUGGCUACAGGGUAAAACACCUGGGGAGUUUUUAAAAUACUGAUGCAUGGGGUCCAUUCCAAGGGAGUCUGAUAUAAUUACUAUGGGGUGCAGCCCAGGCGUAAACAUUUUUUAAAAACUCCUCAACCAGAAUAACGGCUCUACAGAAAUUUUAUCAAAUGCCAAAGAAAGAGUUCCUUAUUUUGCAACUAUAGUGCUUUCUACUCUGGCCCUAAUCAACUUUCAUAAAGGCAGAAUGGACAGACAUUACGUGUUUUAAUUUGAAGACUACCAAAAGGCCGGCCAUUAAACUAGGUAUAUGGGCUCGUCCUCAAAUCCCUAAAUCUACUCCUUAGGACCUACUAUAGCCAGUGUCAUAUAAUAGAAAAGUCACUUAUUGUCCACCAGACCCUGCCCUAAUAUUUGAUAACCUCUUGGGGCCUCAUUUUCUUGUGUCUACACUGGGGAUGAUAUUAACUCUUCACAGGAUUUGGGGAAUUAUAAAGAAAGACCAUGUAGUAAAGGCAGGAAGAUCAAUAAUCAAUAAUCACAUCAGAACCUGAAGGGACUUCGUACCAUUGAAGUGAGGCAGAGGAGAGAGAAAUUUAGAAGGACAAAUUCACAAAUUUCAAUGUGUUUCUAUAAUAACUACUUAAAUUAUUUUCUCUUUGAAUUGCCUCACUGUUGUGUGUGUAUGUCCCCACUCCCACCUGUCCCAUUAUUUUCCUGUUUUCACUUGUACCUUGGCAACCCAUCUGUGGUUUUGGCCAAGCUGUUUUAAUGGCAUUGAACCUGGUAGUUUUUUUAAAAGAGUGUGGUAGUAGUUAUAUAUGGCUCGAUAACUCCUGGGGCUACAACAAGGUUAAUGCGACAGUUUUUGUUGUUUAAAAAACAUGCUUGUCUGACAAGUCAAUCAUUUUAAGCCCCUUGUUCACUUCAGGAUGGUUGCUAAAGGCUUCUCUGUGAGCUAAAAGCUCUCGCUGUUAAGGGGCUGCCUGCCCUGACUGUAUGCAUUAAAUGGAACAGUUCUCUACAUGGUUUCUUACUACAGAUGCCUUGGGAUAUAUGGACACUGGCAUUACCUGCUGCAACAGGUCCUCUCCCAGGGUACUGCUGAGACCUAAGGGCUUAAAUGCUCACCAAACCAAGUGACCUUGGAGGGCUGGUCAUGGUGGGCAUCUGGGAGCUGGGAAAGAGCAUUGGAGAACUUCAUAGGGAAACCUAGUAGGCAAAAAUGAAAGAACCCAUAAGGGCCAUUGGCAUGAGCCAUAGCUAAAGGCCACUGGGUUAGCUCUCAAAGAAAACUGCAAGAUUGAAGCAUAAAUUCCUUCAUCAUGAACCAGAAGUCAUGGAGUGGAGCCAGGGGCAAGAAAGAGAAAGAUGAAGAGGUAGAACCACCAGGAUAAAGGUGCCAAGAAAAACAGUGAGAGCAACACUCAGGGAACCAGAGACAGGAACACAGCUGGGAACUAGGAGGAGAAACCACCACAGCUGGAGCGCAAAGUGGCCAGGUCAGAAAAGCCUCAUGGAAUCCUGGUUAACUGAAUGUUUCUAUUGACUGAGGCCACUGCUUAAGCCCUGUAUUCUUUUUUAUUUCAAUCCCCAUGGUUAGAAAAAUAGUCCUAAAAUGGGUUCAUACCCUUUCCUAUCCUGCAAGAUCUUAAACAUCACUAUCUUUUCCUGCAGUAGUUAAAAGCAUGGGCUUUGGAAUCAGAAACUGGGCACAAAUCUGAGCCCUGCUACUUAUUAACUGUGUAACAUUGGUCAAAUGAAUAAACUUCCUGGAGCCUCAGUUUCCUUGCCUGUAAAAUGUGAGUAACAAUACCAACUUAUUUUCAGGUUGUGAGCAUUUCUCCAUAAUAAUCCACAUAAAACACUUACCAGAGCCCUUGGCAUACUGUGUGAGCAUGUAAUAAUGUUAGCUGUCAUUCCAAGACAACAUGUUGGAAUAAUCUACUUUUUCCAUCACUAUAUAUCUCAUUUUCCUUCUUUUUCUUCUCCCUCAAACCUGUCCCCAUUCCAACAGAUGUUUUGGCCUGUGUUCCUAGCCUCCAGUGACAGCAGAAAGCCUGUUAGAUUUCCUGCCUUUGUUUCCCAAAAUUUGAGCCCCAAGAAACUGGGACAAGAUAUUUUCCUGAGACAAGAUAUCUCAGGAAGGGGAAUGAGUGGAGCUUCUUUUCACCCCACACUAGAAAGCCAUUCUGUUUAGAAAAAGGAGACGGAAGGGAAAGAAAAGGGUGCUAUACCAGUUUUCCAGUAUCACCGUCAGGGAGAAAGCAAGGCCGGAGAGUAUCUGGGCAGAUGUAACUAUAAGCAGCCUAAUAAAGGUUCCCAAGUCCAAACCAUGAAUCCAAACGGCAGAGCUGCCAGACAUGAAAGGCCUUGCUGCCCUUCCACCCCACAAUACUUCACCUCUGGAAGCCUUGACAAUUCCAGGGAGUAUUUGCAAAACCCUGCCCCCACCCAAAAUUUUUAAAAUACUGCAUAUGAGUGAGUAAAAUGAUGCCGAGAUUUUUAAAAGGACAAGCUUACCAUCAGAUAGGUAGAAUGAGUAGUAGUGGCAGCGGUGGUGGUAGUGAUAUAGAGAUAAAAGAGUUAAGUGGAGUUACUGAAAUGUGUAGUUAUAUUUCUCACACUCUGGUGUUUGUGGAUUUGUGGGCUGAGAUUCUUAUCAAAUUCCGGAACUUGCAAUGUCUCAAGGUAAUUGUUUAAAAUAUUAAUUGUUUUACUCACACUGCAAAUGUUGAUAUAGAUGCUGGGGUGGAGGUGGGGCAAUAGGCCAGAAUAAGCCCAAGAAUACCUUGGAAUUUGCUGAAUUUCUUUCUUUUUGCAUAAUCUUAUUCACACAUUAACAUAAUAUGAACCACUCUGGCUCCAUGAGCAGCACAGAAGAGACUUUCUGCAAAUGUGAUUAUUAGGGCAAAAGUUAGGAGAUUUUUUGCCCCCAGCUUUUCUCCUCUCCUAAAAUCUUUUUUUUUUUUUCAUUUCUUUGUCAGUGUCUUUAAUUUUUUUAGCUGCAUUUAAAAGGCUUUCUAUUAUUUCUGCAUGAGUAAGAGCAUGUGUCAUGUCAGCCUCCUUGUCAGCUUCUGUUUCACUUUCAUUAAAUUUGUUGAUUGAGUGUAAAGAAGGAGGCACUGUCAUCAUUUCCAGAUUUCAUAGCUGUAGGUUAGAUCUCUCUCGGAGCAAUGCCAUGAUUACUGCUGCAAUUUUGUAAUGGAGCCCUGGAGAGACAGGGAUGAAACCAGGGAAGGCUCCUUAUCCCUUUCGUGGGUCCAGGGAGGCAGAAAGAGAGGGGAGGAGGAUGUUUCUGUUUCACCUCUAUUCAUUCAUUCAUUCAUUUGCUUCACAAAUAUUGAGCACCUCCUGAGUGACAGACACUGAUUUGGGUGCUGGAAAGCAUAAGCAGCCCUGGUGCCUGUCCUCACAGAGCCUAUGGUCUGCUGGUGAGACGGACUUAAUCAGAUAAACACACUAAUGAAUGUAUAGUUGCACCAACAGAUCCUCAUUUAAUUGAGCUGGACUAGGACCUAGGCAUCAGUAUUUUUUUUAUAAGCUUCAUAGGUAACUCUGCCAGGCCUGGGAAUCACUGGGCUAGACCAUGCAAGUUCUAAUCAUAUAGGCUCUACUCAAGCAUUAAGCAUUUUGAUUUUAUCUUUCAAGCUGUGGUGAAAACGUUACUGAAGAGAGGUGAUAUAGUAAGAUGCUCACGGUUUUUAAAAUUAAGCUUUUUUAUUUUGAAAUAAUUAUAGACUCAUAUGCAGUUGUAAGAAAUAAUACAGGGGAAUCCCAUAUAUCCUUUAUCCAGUUUCCCCAAUGGUAACAUCUUGCAAAACUAUGGUACAAUAUCACAACCAGGAUAUUGACCUUGGUGCAGUCAAGAUAAAGCAUUUUCAACACCACAUGAAUCCCUCCUGUUGUCCUUGGAUAGCCCUCCCCACUUUACUCCUGGUGACCACUAAUAUGUUCUCCAUUUCUAUAAUCUUGUCUUUUCAACAGUUAUAUAAGUGGAAUCAUAUAGUAUAGAACCUCAUGGGAUUGGCUGUUUUCUCUCAGCAUCAUUUUCUGGACAUUCAUUCAGGUUGUUUCACGUGUCAAUAGUUUGUUCCUUUUUAGAGGGCUGACUAGCGGUGUUCCAUGUAUAGGGGUGCCAUAGUUUGUUUAACCAUUCACAUGUUGAAGGACAUCUGGGUCUGCUCCAAUGUUCAGAGAUUUUAAAUAGAGCUGCUAUACACAUUUGUGUAUAGGUUUUUGUGUGAACAUGAAGUCUUUGUUUCUCUGGGAUACAUGCCCAAGUGUGCAAUUGCUGAGUUAUAUGAUAGUUGCAUGUAGAAACUAUCAUGCAUAAAGAAACUGUCAAACUAUUUCCAGAGUAUCUGCACCAUUUUACAUUCUCAACAGUAAUGUACCAGUGAUCCAGUUUCUCCUCAUUCUCAUCAGAAUUUAAUGUUGCCACUGUUUUUUAUUUCAGCCAUUCUGAUAGGUAUGUGGUAAUUGCUUGUUGUGGUUUGCUUUGAGUUUCUCUAAUGGCCAACGAUGCUGAACAUCUUUUCAUGUGCUUAGUUGCCAUCUGUAUAUUACCUUUGGUGAAGUGUCUCUUCAUGUCUUUGGCCUAUUUUCUAAUUGGAUUAUUAGCCUUAAUGUUGAGUUUUGAGAGUUUACUUUUAUAUUCCAAAUACUAGUCCCUUUUGUCAAAUAUGGGGUUUGCAAUUUUUUUCCCACUCUCCAAUUUGUUUUUUAUCCUGUUUACAGGGUCUUUCACAGAGCAAAGUUUUUUAAUUGUGAUGCAGUCUAAUUUAUCAGCUUUUCCUUUUAUGGACCAUAUUUUUGGUGUCGAGUCUAAGUCGUCUUUGCUGAGUCCUACAUCAUGAAGAUUUUUUCUUACUAAAAUUUGAUAGUUUUAAAUGUUCUCUAUUUAAGUCCGUGAGUUAUUUUGAGUUAAUUUUUGCAUAAGGUAUAAAUCUUAGGUUGAGGCUCACUUUUUAAUCUUAAGGAUUGCUCAGCAUCAUUUAUUGAAAAGGCUAUCUUCCCUCCAUUGAAUUUCUUUUGUACCUGUGUCAAAACAUCAGUUGCAUAUAUUUGUGUGUAUCAAUUUCUGGGUCUUCUGUUCUGUUCAGUGGAUCUAUGUGUCUAUUUCUCUGCCAAUACCAUAUAGUUUUGACUAUAGUAGCUGUAUAAUAAGUCUUGAAACCCUUGAAACCAGGUAAGACUGGUCCCUUUCAUAUUAGCCUUCCUUUUCAAAAUUGUUUUAGCUAUUCUAGUUCCUUUGCUUUUCUGUAUACAUUGUAGAAUAGUGUUGUCUAUAUCUAUUUUUAAAACUUGCUGGAAUUUUUUUUUAAGAGACAGAGUCUUGCACUGUUGGCCAGGUUGGAGUACAGGGGUAUGAUCAUAGCUCACUACAGCACCAAACUCCUGGGCUCUAGCAAUCUUCCUGCCUCAGUCUCCCAAGUAGGUAGAACUACAUGCAACUGCCACUACAAUCGUAUUUAAAAGUAAAGUUAAAAAAAUUUUUUUUGAGAGAAGAUCUCACUCUGUUGACUAGUCUGGUCUUGAACACCUAGCCUCCAGCAAUCCUCUUGCCUCCCAAAGCACUGGAAUUGCAAGAGUGAGCUACCAGGCCCAACCAGUAUGUUAUGUGUGCAGUUUUUUGUAGAUAUUAUUUAUUAUGUUGAGGAAACUCCCCUCUAUUGCCAUUUUUCUGAUAGUUUUUAAGAUCAUUCAUGGGUGUUGAAGUUUGUCAGAGUCUUUCUGUAUCCAUUGAUUGUUAUGAUCAAGAAUUUUUUCUUUAGCCUGUUAAUACGAUGUAUUAAAUAGCUUCAUUUUCAACUACUGAGCCAGCCUGAAAUAAACCUCGCUUGGUCAUGAUAUAUUAUUACAUAUGCUGCUGAAUUCUAUUUUCUCUUUUACUGGUCUUUUGGCUGGAGAGAGUAGGCUUUUGUUGGGGCUUUACUUGUACGUGCACAUUGUUAUUUCUGGGUUGUCAGCCUCCUUCUCUCCAAGUCUGGGAUAUAUGGGACAAAAACAUAAUCCAGGGAGCCCACCACCUUGUUAGACUUUGAGUCCCUAGAUCCCUAGGUGGUCUGGCUUCUUUUUUUCACCUUUGAAAAUCUUAUGUUUGUUUUAUACAUAAUGUUGAGAGUUUUUCGUUGUUCUUAGUGGCAGAAGUAUAGAAAGAUACUCCAUCUUCUCAAAAAUAGAAGUUCAGAUUAUGUUUUGAAAGGCACUGUAGGCAGGCCAGGGAAGGCUUGUAAAAGGCUACUGCACUGGUCCAGGUGAGGGGAGUUAGUCUGGUAGAAGGCUGUUUCUUCCACCAUUCUCCCCUCACAUUCCACUGCCCCAUUUGCAUGGAGCUGGGGUUCUACUACCCCAGUAGGGCAGCAAGAGAGAAGGAGCAGGCAAUAUCUUGGAGCAUUACACCAUGAUAAAGGGACACCAAUACCCUCCAGAUGCUAGCUGUUUCUUUCUAGAGCUUUUAAACAUUCUCCUUCAGCAGAAGAAAUAAGUCACUCCUGAAAGCAUCCUAACAAUGUGCAUUUCUCCAAAGUUUCCUUAACACUUCACAUUUAACAUGACUCCAGGUAUAAGCAACAUUAAACAAGUCAUAUCUUAUGUUACAACUUGAGUGAAACUUUAAUGAUGCUGAAUUUGCUAAUUUGCUCUGGUAUAAUGUAUUUCCUGUUUAUAAUCCCUUUUGGCUAAUAGCACUAAUCAACAGAAAACACUGACAGACUGCACAAUGGCAACAGUAAUUCUGGACAGAGAUAGUUUUAUUAUCUACAGAUGAAUCCAUGUUUCUAAAACAUUAUUUACUAUAAUGUAAAAUAUGGGUUGGGCGUGGUGGCUCACACCUGUAAUCUCAGCACUUUGGGAGGCUGAGGCGGGCAGAUCACCUGAGGUCAGCAGUUCAAGCCUAGCCUGGCCAACAUGGUGAAACCCCAUCUCUACUAAAAAUACAAAAAUUAGCCAAGUGCAGUGGUGCAUGCUUGUAAUCCCAGCUACUUGGGGGGCUGAGGUAGGAGGAUUGAUUGAACCUGGGAGGCAGAGGUUGCAGUGAGCCGAGAUCAUACCACUGCACUCCAACCUGGGCAACAGAAGGAGACUCUAUCUCAAAAAAUAAAAAUAAAAAUAAAAAUAAAAUGUAGUAGAUAAAGGUCAUAAUUUCUAUGCACCAAAGCUUUUAUAGGAGGCCUGUAUUUUAGCAAUCAACCUGUCCUUAUUCUGUUCAAAUUCAAGGGCACUUGAAUCACUUUAGAUGGUGUCACCUACAUUGGGAAGCAAUCACAGUAUAGAUAUUUUUUCUUAUUAUGUUUGCAAAAUAAACUUCACAAAAUUGUCUAGCAACCUUGUGACCACUUGUUUUCUUUUAUUGAACAUAAUAAUCCUUUUAAC
rnacentral:lncRNA from 1 species